rnacentral:tRNA from 1 species
GGCCCAAUAGUAUAGUAGUAUUAUACUCCCUUCGGGUAGAUCAAUCUACUUCCUCAGGGGAGCCCUGAAAUGGGAGAGGUCCCGGGUUCAAUUCCCGGUUGGGCCC